rnacentral:rRNA from 1 species
GAUGAACGCUGGCGGCGUGCCUAAUACAUGCAAGUCGAGCGAACACAUAAGGAGCUUGCUCCUUUGACGUUAGCGACGGACGGGUGAGUAACACGUGGAUAACCUACAUAUAAGACUGGGAUAACUUCGGGAAACCGGAGCUAAUACCGGAUAACAUGUUGAACCGCAUGGUUCAAUAGUGAUAGGCGGCUUUGCUGUCACUUAUAGAUGGAUCCGCGCCGGAUUAGCUAGUUGGUAAGGUAACGGCUUACCAAGGCAACGAUACGUAGCCGACCUGAGAGGGUGAUCAGCCACACUGGAACUGAGACACGGUCCAGACUCCUACGGGAGGCAGCAGUGGGGAAUCUUCCGCAAUGGGCGAAAGCCUGACCGAGCAACGCCGCGUGAGUGAUGAAGGUCUUCGGAUUGUAAAACUCUGUUAUCAGGGAAGAAAAAAUGUGUAAGUAACUGUCCACAUCUUGACGGUACCUGAUGAGUAAGCAACGGCUAACUACGUG